UAGGGAAUCUUCCACAAUGGGCGAAAGCCUGAUGGAGCAACGCCGCGUGUGUGAUGAAGGGUUUCGGCUUGUAAAACACUGUUGUAAGAGAAGAAUGACAUUGAGAGUAACUGUUCAAUGUGUGACGGUAUCUUACCAGAAAGGAACGGCUAAAUACGUGCCAG
rnacentral:rRNA from 1 species